GACGGGGGCCCGCACAAGACGGUGGAGCAUGUGGUUUAAUCGAAGCAACGCGAAGAACCUUACCAGGCCUUGACAUGCAGAGAACUUUCCAGAGAUGGAUUGGUGCCUUCGGGAGCUCUGACACAGGUGCUGCACGGCUGUCGUCAGCUCGUGUCGUGAGAUGUUGGGUUAAGUCCCGUAACGAGCGCAACCCUUGUCCUUAGUUACCAGCACGUUAUGGUGGGCACUCUAAGGAGACUGCCGGUGACAAACCGGAGGAAGGUGGGGAUGACGUCAAGUCAUCAUGGCCCUUACGGCCUGGGCUACACACGUGCUACAAUGGUCGGUACAAAGGGUUGCCAAGCCGCGAGGUGGAGCUAAUCCCAUAAAACCGAUCGUAGUCCGGAUCGCAGUCUGCAACUCGACUGCGUGAAGUCGGAAUCGCUAGUAAUCGUGAAUCAGAAUGUCACGGUGAAUACGUUCCCGGGCCUU
rnacentral:rRNA from 1 species